GAAUAACAGAGGCACUGGAGGAGAGAGAGAGAGAGAGAGAGCGACAGAGAGAUUUGGAUGUGCUUGUGGAGGAGGAGUGUGUGUAGGAAAAUCUUAAUUGUAUGUACGAACACAGCUUCACAAAUGCACUCUACUAGCGGGUUAUGUUGCGACUAGAAAGCAACUGAGAUAUGGAGGAGGAGUUGCUUAUUCCGGCUAUUAUACGUGACAAAUGUUAAUGUACGGCUGAACCGCACACUUUAACCCCUGCGGUGUCCCUGGGAGGAGCCCGUGACCCAAAUGCGCUGUUGGAAAGCGGCAGAUUUGAGAGUGAUUUACUGUGAAAAGGUCACCAUCUGCCCGCAGCGGAUCCAGAUCCCGGAGCCUCCUGCUCCCUUCUGAGGGCACUCAUGCUGUAUGGGCACAGAGCCCACCUCAGCGGCGCCCACUGCUGUUCCCGCAAAGUUCAGCUGAUCAAACACACACACACAACAGAGUCUGGCUGCAGACACGAUCUGCAGAAAUGAGAUCUGAUGGUUUGGGCAGCCCUGGGCUACAUUAUAGCCUACACAGAGCAGGUUUGCGUUUUUUGGAUGAAUGAUCUGUCUUGAUGUGAUGAAACAUGUCCAUACGCAUCAUUACAGAUCGAUAUUGUUCAUUUAUUACUUUGUAUUGUUAUAAAUAAACUAAUAAAUGUCUGUUUUAUUGUC